UUUUAUGGAGAGUUUGAUCCUGGCUCAGGAUGAACGCUGGCGGCGUGCCUAAUACAUGCAAGUCGAGCGAACGGACGAGAAGCUUGCUUCUCUGAUGUUAGCGGCGGACGGGUGAGUAACACGUGGAUAACCUACCUAUAAGACUGGGAUAACUUCGGGAAACCGGAGCUAAUACCGGAUAAUAUUUUGAACCGCAUGGUUCAAAAGUGAAAGACGGUCUUGCUGUCACUUAUAGAUGGAUCCGCGCUGCAUUAGCUAGUUGGUAAGGUAACGGCUUACCAAGGCAACGAUGCAUAGCCGACCUGAGAGGGUGAUCGGCCACACUGGAACUGAGACACGGUCCAGACUCCUACGGGAGGCAGCAGUAGGGAAUCUUCCGCAAUGGGCGAAAGCCUGACGGAGCAACGCCGCGUGAGUGAUGAAGGUCUUCGGAUCGUAAAACUCUGUUAUUAGGGAAGAACAUAUGUGUAAGUAACUGUGCACAUCUUGACGGUACCUAAUCAGAAAGCCACGGCUAACUACGUGCCAGCAGCCGCGGUAAUACGUAGGUGGCAAGCGUUAUCCGGAAUUAUUGGGCGUAAAGCGCGCGUAGGCGGUUUUUUAAGUCUGAUGUGAAAGCCCACGGCUCAACCGUGGAGGGUCAUUGGAAACUGGAAAACUUGAGUGCAGAAGAGGAAAGUGGAAUUCCAUGUGUAGCGGUGAAAUGCGCAGAGAUAUGGAGGAACACCAGUGGCGAAGGCGACUUUCUGGUCUGUAACUGACGCUGAUGUGCGAAAGCGUGGGGAUCAAACAGGAUUAGAUACCCUGGUAGUCCACGCCGUAAACGAUGAGUGCUAAGUGUUAGGGGGUUUCCGCCCCUUAGUGCUGCAGCUAACGCAUUAAGCACUCCGCCUGGGGAGUACGACCGCAAGGUUGAAACUCAAAGGAAUUGACGGGGACCCGCACAAGCGGUGGAGCAUGUGGUUUAAUUCGAAGCAACGCGAAGAACCUUACCAAAUCUUGACAUCCUUUGACAACUCUAGAGAUAGAGCCUUCCCCUUCGGGGGGGCAAAGUGACAGGUGGUGCAUGGUUGUCGUCAGCUCGUGUCGUGAGAUGUUGGGUUAAGUCCCGCAACGAGCGCAACCCUUAAGCUUAGUUGCCAUCAUUAAGUUGGGCACUCUAAGUUGACUGCCGGUGACAAACCGGAGGAAGGUGGGGAUGACGUCAAAUCAUCAUGCCCCUUAUGAUUUGGGCUACACACGUGCUACAAUGGACAAUACAAAGGGCAGCGAAACCGCGAGGUCAAGCAAAUCCCAUAAAGUUGUUCUCGGUUCGGAUUGUAGUCUGCAACUCGACUACAUGAAGCUGGAAUCGCUAGUAAUCGUAGAUCAGCAUGCUACGGUGAAUACGUUCCCGGGUCUUGUACACACCGCCCGUCACACCACGAGAGUUUGUAACACCCGAAGCCGGUGGAGUAACCUUUUAGGAGCUAGCCGUCGAAGGUGGGACAAAUGAUUGGGGUGAAGUCGUAACAAGGUAGCCGUAUCGGAAGGUGCGGCUGGAUCACCUCCUUUCUAA
rnacentral:rRNA from 1 species